GGGGGAGAUGCAAAGGACGGCUUGCCCCCAUCGCCUUUGCAAGCCGUGAAAUGCAACGCGGAGCGCCGCUGGUGCGCCUUGGCAGAAUCCGGGCUCGGAGCCCCGAUGGGCCCCUGGCAGGCGGCCGGCUCUGCCCCCCUCCCCAAUCCCGGCGGGGUUGGGCCAGGGCCUGUCUUGGGAGGGGGUGGGGGGUGCAGGAGGGACACGAUCCCCAGCCAAGCUCUCCCGGGCAGCCCCCUUGGCACUGCGGAGCGCUCCUUCGGCUCGCCUGGCGAAUGGCAGCUUGGGCUAGACUCGGUUGGGCAGGGCACAUGCCAAACUUUCUGUGGGAUGGCCGCCCCCGGAGCCCUUUCCAGUGACUGUCACAGAGAAGCCCGUUUAUUUAUUUCUGGGAGUAUUUUAAUCAUAGUAUCAUAGAACUGGAUGGUUGGAAGGGAUCCCUGAGGGUCAUCUAGACCAACCCCCUCAAGUGCGUGAAUCACAGCUCAAACAUCUCUCGCAAAUGGCAACCUCUUUGGGAAAACCUCCAAGGAAGGAGAGGCCACCACCUCCCGAGGAAGCCCAUUCCACUUUUGAAAGUUCUUCCCUUUUCUUGUAACUUGAAUCCAUUAGUUUGUGUCUUCCCAGCACCAGAAAACAAGUUUGCUCCCUCUUCCCUGUGAACAGCCCUUCAUCUCCUUUCUCGUAUCUCCUAUCCGUCGCCUCCAGGCUCAACAUACCCAGCUCCUUCGACCGUUCCUCAUCAGGCUUGGUUUCCUGGCCCUGGAUCAGCUUGUUGCACACCUUCCAGCUUAUCAAUAUCUGUUCCUCCCUGCCUUUGGUUGUAAGUUGCUUUGGGCAAUAUAAUAAUAAUAAUAAUAAUAAUAAUAAUUUUUUAAAAAACUGCAGCCCUAAUACUACAUGCCACACACCACAGCAGCAAAAAUUUGGCCCCUCAUAUGCAGGGUCUUGUGAGUUGAAGCUGAAAUUUCCUCUACAGUUACACUAUUCCCCUUUUAUGCUUGUUCUUGUCCAAGGUGGGGGAUUUAUUGGAGAAAUUGCUUGUGGGGAAAUAUUUUAAUGGUAGAUCUGUGACGUGACUCCCCAGCUUAUAGCCCAGUGCCCCUCUGAAGCAAGAGGGGUCUGGAGACAGUGAACAGAGUUCAGCCCAGAGGAGGAUAUUUCAGUGGGAAGGCAGUAGCCAUUGGGCAAUGCUCCCUCUCGGGUGAGUACGUUCAUGGCAGCAGAGAAAUGCCCCAAGCUCCAAUGCCAGGUCGCAGAAAACACAUGCAUGUUGCACUUCUCAAACGGGC